UCGGAUAUGGUGUAACGGCCAACAUUGCCGCCUCUCAUAAGUAGUGUGUAAUGCUGUACUAAUUGCGCGGCAGCUCGGGGUUCGAUUCCCCGUAUCCGAA